UAAGAGCUUGCUCUUAUGAAGUUAGCGGCGGACGGGUGAGUAACACGUGGGUAACCUACCCAUAAGACUGGGAUAACUCCGGGAAACCGGGGCUAAUACCGGAUAAUAUUUUGAACUGCAUAGUUCGAAAUUGAAAGGCGGCUUCGGCUGUCACUUAUGGAUGGACCCGCGUCGCAUUAGCUAGUUGGUGAGGUAACGGCUCACCAAGGCAACGAUGCGUAGCCGACCUGAGAGGGUGAUCGGCCACACUGGGACUGAGACACGGCCCAGACUCCUACGGGAGGCAGCAGUAGGGAAUCUUCCGCAAUGGACGAAAGUCUGACGGAGCAACGCCGCGUGAGUGAUGAAGGCUUUCGGGUCGUAAAACUCUGUUGUUAGGGAAGAACAAGUGCUAGUUGAAUAAGCUGGCACCUUGACGGUACCUAACCAGAAAGCCACGGCUAACUACGUGCCAGCAGCCGCGGUAAUACGUAGGUGGCAAGCGUUAUCCGGAAUUAUUGGGCGUAAAGCGCGCGCAGGUGGUUUCUUAAGUCUGAUGUGAAAGCCCACGGCUCAACCGUGGAGGGUCAUUGGAAACUGGGAGACUUGAGUGCAGAACAGGAAAGUGGAAUUCCAUGUGUAGCGGUGAAAUGCGUAGAGAUAUGGAGGAACACCAGUGGCGAAAGCGACUUUCUGGUCUG
rnacentral:rRNA from 1 species